rnacentral:pre_miRNA from 1 species
UCUUAGAGGUGAGUAAAGAAAGUGGUUUCUUGAGAAGGAAUCUACUUCUGGUGAAGAUACUGGGAA